GAUGAAGAACGUAGUGAAAUGCGAUAAGUAGUGUGAAUUGCAGAAUUCAGUGAAUCAUCGAAUCUUUGAACGCACAUUGCGCCCCUUGGUAUUCCGAGGGGCAUGCCUAUUCGAGCGUCAUUAUCACCCCUCAAGCCUAGCUUGGUGUUGAGACCUGCUGUCAAGGCAGUCUCUAAAAUCAGUGGCAGUGCUGUCAGGCUCUAAGCGUAGUAAAUCUAAUCGCUAUAGACACCUGGUGGACACUCGCCAGAACCCCCCCAUUUUUUAAUGAUUGACCUCGGAUUAGGUAGGGAUACCCGCUGAACUUAAGCAUAUCAAUAAGCGGAGGA
rnacentral:misc_RNA from 1 species